AAUGGAGUCGAGGUGCUGUACGCUUGUGUUAUGUGUUAUCUCUACGUCGAUCCGGUGACGUAAAGUUCCAAUAUCACUUUGGAAAUCUCAACAACACCACCCUCUUUGGCAAUUUGGUUUGACCAUGUCAGUGCAAUACCAUUUCCAGUAUGCUUCGUUUAAGAUGUCCAGUAUGCUUUUAAUGACUCCAGCUUUUACCAUUUCCAUUUUACAAGCAAGUCUGUCUUUUCCUAACUUGACUAGAGCUCUGAAAAUGGCCUCGUGAAGUACAAAGUUUCUACCAGACAGUAGACUAACAAGAGGGACAACUGCACUGUGUGUGGCAACUAAUUCAGCCAAAUGCUUAUCAUCAACGAGCCUAUCCAGUGCCCGAACAACUGAAUGAUGAGCAUAUUAUUGCUAUUGGAAUGAAAUUAACUUCUUAUACAUUGUUGAAGCUGAGACAAAGCCUUGUUAAAGAAAGAAAGAAAUUAACUUCACUACAAUUAUUAUGUCCAAUUACUGUUGUAUACUACCAGUCUCAAAUCGAGUGACUGUUGCUACAUUGACAGAUCUUGGUUUCUUAUGGUUUAGAGAAUUUUAUGUCAUUCAGUGACAAGUCCAUCAAAGUUGAGUUAUGCACCAUUCAACAUGAAACUAGCCAACAAAAGAGCAAUACUUCAAGUGGGAUAUUGGUUUCAACGGUCCAGUUUUUCAAGCCAAGGUUGCUAUUUUCCAAGGCUUCGCGUACAUAAAAUGGUCACCGCAUUGUACAAUUUCAACGGUACAGUUUUUUUGUUAACGUUGUCUUUCCCUCGAAACUUGUUAAGAAUGGUGUGGUUGUAAGCAACGUGUUUUUGUGAAUGGUGUGUUAGAAUGUAAGCAACGUGUUUUUGUGAACUAUGUAAUUACUUGCUCUUCAAUUCCGAUUAAACAAAAACGGUUUUUUAAGAAUUCAGUCCACAAUUAUGUAAUUACU